rnacentral:RNase_P_RNA from 1 species
GCAGUCCGCCGGUCUGUCGCUCGUUUCCUUCGGGAAGCGUGAGGAAAGUCCGGGCAACACAGGGCACCAUAUUUCCUAACGGGAAGCAGGCCGCAAGGUUUGAGUAGCGUAACAGAAAAGAACCGCCGGAGAGGGGAACCUCCGGUAAGGGUGAAAAGGCGAGGUAAGAGCUCACCGUCCCGCUUGGCAACAAGGGGAGCCGUACGCCUUAUGGGUUGCAAGGUCAUGUAUAUCAGCGUAUGUAGGGCGGCCCGUCCGAUGCUGAGGGGUAGAUCGCUCGAGCUUGCCGGUGACGGCAAGACCAGAUAAAUGGCAGACACCCGGCACCUUACGGUGCCGGGCACAGAACCCGGCUUAUAGGCGGACUGCGUUU